rnacentral:rRNA from 1 species
UACGUAGGUGGCAAGCGUUGUCCGGAUUUACUGGGCGUAAAGGGCGUGCAGGCGGUUUGUUAAGUGCAGGGUGAAAGCUCCCGGCUCAACUGGGAGAGGUCCUUGCAUACUGGCAAACUCGAGGGAGGCAGAGGAAAGUGGAAUUCCCGGUGUAGUGGUGAUAUGCGUAGAUAUCGGGAGGAACACCUGUGGCGAGGCGGCUUUCUGG